AAUCUCCUUGAAAAGUAAGUAAGUGACGCCACCUUAAGCAUCGCACAGCUGCAUCCUUAUCGUCACUAAAUUAGGUUGCGUUGACUGCAUUCGAAAAUGGAACGACCCAAGCCGCGACAUCUUGUAUUCUGAUUGGCUGAACGGUUGAAAAAUUCUACGGAUCACAUUUUGUUAACAGUAAAAGAUAAACUAUUCUUUGAUAUGCACUCACACAAUAUCUUAUGGCGUCGUACGCCAUUUUCAUUCGUAGGCGUUCUAUGUUCGGAAAUGAGACGCGAUAUGCUUUACACGAAAUUUAUGGUUUAACGGCAAAUUGUUUAUUAAAAUUUCUAUCGAUUUAUUCUAUUUUUUAAUUAAUCCAAUUACUUUCUGUACAACUGCUUUCUAUUUUUAACGAUUUACAGUCAGUGUUCGAUAAAAAAAAGUGCGCCAUUUCUAGCGUCCAUAGUAUAAAUAGAAUACAACUUGUAUUUACAAAUUUAAUCCAUUAUAAUCGAAUAAGAUUUGUCUACAUGGAAUUUUUUUAAAUAAUAUAUUAAAUAAUGAGUAUUGUAAUAUUCGCAUUUCUAUUGUAACUCGGUGACAAUUAAUUAGCUAAGCGUCGCAAAAACGUCAACCAUAGUGCGGUACGUGUAGAACGCAGAAAAUAAUAAAAGUCUUAUAGUGCAAUUUGUUAGGUUAUUAUUUAUCACGCCUGUUUAUUGUCGUAAGAAGAUGUGGAUUUAUAUGCUGAUUGCUAUUUUUUCUACGUUCGAUUUUGCGGCGGCUUCGUCUGGUUUCGAUUUUGGCGAUACCUUGGCAUUGAUCCUUGGAUUAAUCAUCGGAAUUAUGGGAUUCUUUGCAUGUAUGGGUGUCCGAGCGAGACGUCUAAGGGAUAUGCAAUAUUUAUGAUUGCACUCUACUCCGGAAUUUGUCCCAUAGAAAUCUGAUGAAUAUAAAAUUAAGGAAGGAAAUACUUCGUUUUCAAGCUUUUUAACUGUUAAUCAAACAAUAUUUUUAUAAACGUAUUAAAAAGAAGUAUGAACAUUUCUUAAUGAUAAUAAUUUUUAUAAAUAUAAAUUAUACAAUUAAAAGAGCAUAAGCUAUCUCUUCGUAUAUGAGUAACAUUGUUUAGCUAUAUUUUUAGAAUAACAUAAUUGUUACAUAAAUAUAAAUGAAUACAAUAAUGAAAGAAUGUUAAUAAAGGAAGAAAUAUUUGUAAUUGUUUC